rnacentral:rRNA from 1 species
AUUGAACGCUGGCGGCAGGCCUAACACAUGCAAGUCGAGCGAGCGGCGGACGGGUGAGUAAUGUAUGGGGACUGCCCGAUAGAGGGGGAUAACUACUGGAAACGGUAGCUAAUACCGCAUACUAUCGGAUAACCCAUAUGGGAUUAGCUAGUAGGUGAGGUAAUGGCUCACGUAGGCGAAGAUCCCUAGCUGGUCUGAGAGGAUGAUCAGCCACACUAGGACGGAGACAGGGCCCAGAGUCCUACGGAGGCAGCAGUGGGGAAUAUUGCACAGUGGGCGCAAUCCGGAUGCAGCCAUGCCGCGUGUAUGAAGAAGGCCCUAGGGUUGUAAAGUACUUUCAGUCGGAAGGCGUUACCGACAGAAGAAGCGCCGGCUAACUCCGUGCCAGCAGCCGCGGUAAUUC